CGGGAAUUUUGGGCAAUGGGCGAAAGCCUGACCCAGCAACGCCGCGUGAGGGAUGAAGUAUUUCGGUAUGUAAACCUCGAAAGAAUGGGAAGAAUAAAUGACGGUACCAUUUAUAAGCUCCGGCUAACUACGUGCCAGCAGCCGCGGUAAUACGUAGGGAGCAAGCGUUGUUCGGAUUUACUGGGCGUAAAGGGCGCGUAGGCGGCGCGGUAAGUCACUUGUGAAAUCUCUGAGCUUAACUCAGAACGGCCAAGUGAUACUGCUGUGCGAGAGUGCGGAAGAGGCAACCGGAAUUCUUGGUGUAGCGGUGAUAUGCGUAGAUAUCAAGAGGAACACCUGAGGCGAAGGCGGGUUGCUGGGCCGACACUGACGCUGAUGCGCGAAAGCCAGGGGAGCAA
rnacentral:rRNA from 1 species